UAAAAUUGUAUCGCCUCAUAUUUUUAGCUUUUAAAAUUUUUUAGAGAAUGUAUGAGCACCUUUAGCACUUCCUUUAGUAAUUUCUUUAGGCAGAAAAAAAACCCGUGAGCUGUCAUUCUUUCGUGUGGUUAAUAGUUAUCCUUGCACACGAAGGAUACCACAGUUGGGCAGUUUUGUUGACGCCAGGCGAAUCUUUGUUUGCAGAAGGUGUCGUGCACGAACGAGGACGGCUGGUCUGUUGCCCUGGCCGAGUACAUCCGCCACAGCGACCAGCCCAUGCUGGAGUUGGGGGACAAGCUGCUCAGGAACUUCGAGGAGCAACUGCUGCCGUGCCAGUCGUUCGCAGAGUAUUGCGAUGUCAUGGGUCUGCUUUGUGAAAUUUCGAACCCAGAUGCCUUCCUGUCAGAGUCUCUUCAGCUAAGGGUUUAAUCUUAAUUUUAAUAUUGAAGGUUUAUUUAAUAAACACAUUGUUUGAACUUUUCUUGA